rnacentral:rRNA from 1 species
UACGAAGGGGGCUAGCGUUGUUCGGAAUUACUGGGCGUAAAGCGAGUGUAGGUGGUUGUCCAAGUUGGAUGUGAAAGCCUUGAGCUCAACUCAAGAAAUGCAUUCAGGACUGGAUGGCUAGAGGACCGGAGAGGAUAGUGGAAUUCCCAGUGUAGUGGUGAAAUACGUAGAGAUUGGGAAGAACACCAGUGGCGAAGGCGGCUAUCUGGACGGUUUCUGACACUAAGACUCGAAAAGCGGUGGGGAGCAAACAGG